UGCAGAGGGGGCAAGCGUUGUUCGGAAUUACUGGGCGUAAAGGGCGCGUAGGCGGCUUGAUAAGGUUGCGGUGAAAGCCCGGGGCUCAACCCCGGGUCGGCCGUGGCAACUGUCGAGCUGGAGCACUGUAGAGGCAGGUGGAAUUCCGGGUGUAGCGGUGGAAUGCGUAGAGAUCCGGAAGAACACCGGUGGCGAAGGCGGCCUGCUGGGCAGUGGCUGACGCUGAGGCGCGACAGCGUGGGGAGCAAACAGG
rnacentral:rRNA from 1 species